UCUGUUUCUACUACAUGCCAUUCUGCAUUUUAUUUUAUCAUUAUAAUAAAUGUAGGAAGCUAUAAUUUAUUGUUCAGAUCAGAUAUUAUAUGUUUUCCAAACAUGUCAUUUAAUCAUCAUUACUAUCUCUAUUGGGAGGUGCGAUUACACAUUUUAUAGAUAAGAAAACAGAUUGUUAGAAGAAAAAGAUGUACAUGGAUCAUGUGAUUCUGGCAAGAUUUCUAGUCAGUGCAUGUGCUCUUCUGAUCUCAAAGGAAAAAAAAAAAACCUUGUAAAAAAAAGCGAAAACGACAACAGAAAAACAAUCGUAUUCCAAGCAUUCCAGUACCUUUGUUGUGUAUGUACUUAGCUGUACUAUAAGUAGUUGGUUUGUAUGAGAUGGUUAAAAGGCCAAAGAUUAAAAGGUUUCCUUUUUUUCCUUUUUUUCCUUUUUUCUCUUUGCUAUACACUUCCUGGAGCUCCAUUCACUUCUACAUUUCAUCUCCUUUCAGAGAAGAUGACAUUGAUCCUCAUAACUUUACUUUUUGUUUGAAUUCUAGCCUCAGAUUUUCAAUGCAACACUAUCCUCACAAAAUUCUUUUCUCCUCGUUCAACCACAGGGAAGCUUUUUCUCCCAAUUUCCCUAUUAUUGUUAACUGUUUGACCCUAUAUUCCAAUGUCUAGGCUUCAGGACUUGCAUUAAGCCUCAUUGUCACACAUAUUAUUACUCCCUCCAUCCAAGCCAUUACCACAUACAUCCUCUGUGCCUUUCUUUUUAAUAGUCACUAUUCAUUCAUUUAAUAUUCCUACUCAAUAUCUAUUGGAUGAACAUUUAUUGAACACUUACUAUUAUCCAGGCACAAUCCUAGGAUAUUGGGAUAUAGCAGUAAACAAGAGAGACAAAUAUCUUUCAUUCUUAGUUCAUUUGCAAUGCCAUAACAGGAUAUCAAAAACUGGGUAAUUUAUAAAUAAUAGAAAUUCAUUUCUCACAGUUUUGAAGGCAGGGGAGUUCAAAAUCUAGCCGUUGGGUGGGUUAAGUGUCUGGUGAGGGCCCUGUUCUCUGCUUCCAAGAUGGUGCCUCUUUGCUCAUUCUGUGACCUUUUUCUUGUAUGGCAGAAGGCAGAAGAGCAACGAAGCCUGAGCUAGUUCCUCCGGCCCUUUCAGAAUGCACUAGUUCAUUCGUGAAGGCAGAGAUCUCAUGACUUAAUCACUUCUCAAAAGAACCCAUCUCAAUACCAUCAAAAUGGGGAUUAAGUUUGAAUUUUGAAAGGGACACAUUUAAAUCAUGGCACCGCCAUGAGAAUUUAUAUUAUCAUGUGGAGAAAUAAACAAUAAAGAUUUUGCC
rnacentral:lncRNA from 1 species